UACGUAGGGUGCGAGCGUUGUCCGGAAUUAUUGGGCGUAAAGGGCUCGUAGGCGGUUUGUCGCGUCGGGAGUGAAAUCCACUGGCUUAACUGGUGGCUUGCUUUCGAUACGGGCAGACUGGAGGUAUGCAGGGGAGAACGGAAUUCCUGGUGUAGCGGUGAAAUGCGCAGAUAUCAGGAAGAACACCCGUGGCUAAGGCGGCUCUCUAGUACGGUACUGACGCUGAGACGCGAAAGCGUGGGGAGCGAACAGG
rnacentral:rRNA from 1 species